CCUACGGGCGGCAGCAGUGAGGAAUAUUGGUCAAUGGCCGCAGGGCUGAACCAGCCAAGUCGCGUGAGGGAUGACGGUCCUAUGGAUUGUAAACCUCUUUUGUCAGGGAGCAAAGGGCGCCACGUGUGGCGUUUUGCGAGUACCUGAAGAAAAAGCAUCGGCUAACUCCGUGCCAGCAGCCGCGGUAAUACGGAGGAUGCGAGCGUUAUCCGGAUUUAUUGGGUUUAAAGGGUGCGCAGGCGGAAUGUCAAGUCAGCGGUAAAAUUUCGGGGCUCAACCCCGUCGUGCCGUGGAAACUGGCGUGCUUGAGUGAGCGGGAAGUAUGCGGAAUGCGUGGUGUAGCGGUGAAAUGCAUAGAUAUCACGCAGAACUCCGAUUGCGAAGGCAGCAUACUGGCGCUCAACUGACGCUCAUGCACGAAAGCGUGGGUAUCGAACAGGAUUAGAUACCCCAGUAGUC
rnacentral:rRNA from 1 species